rnacentral:rRNA from 1 species
AGGCCGCCCUCUCUUGGCCCGUUCCUGACCGUGAGACCCGAAAGGCGGGGGGAGCAACCGGAUUAGAUACCCGGGUAGUCACGCUGUAAACCGUGGCACUAGGUGUGGGGGGGUAUUCCCUCCGUGCCGAAGCUAACGCAUUAAGUGCCCCGCCUGGGGAGUACAGCCGCAAGGUUGAAACUCAAAGGAAUUGACGGGGGCCCGCACAAGCGGUGGAGCGUGUGGUUUAAUUCGAUGCAACGCGAAGAACCUUACCCGGGCUUGACAUGCUGGUGGUGCCGACCCGAAAGGGAAGGGACCCUGGGGGUUUCCGCCAGGGAGCCAGCACAGGUGCUGCAUGGCCGUCGUCAGCUCGUGUCGUGAGGUGUUGGGUUAAGUCCCGCAACGAGCGCAACCCCUGCCCCUAGUUGCCAGCGGUUCGGCCGGGCACUCUAGGGGGACUGCCGGCGAUAAGCCGGAGGAAGGUGGGGAUGACGUCAGGUCCUCAUGGCCCUUAUGCCCGGGGCUACACACGCGCUACAAUGGCCGGUACAAAGGGUUGCGAACCCGCGAGGGGGAGCUAAUCCCAAAAAGCCGGCCCCAGUUCGGAUCGGAGUCUGCAACUCGACUCCGUGAAGGCGGAAUCGCUAGUAAUCCCGGAUCAGCUACGCCGGGGUGAAUACGUUCCCGGGCCUUGUACACACCGCCCGUCACGCCACGGAAGUCAGUCUUCCCGGAAGCCCUCGAGCUAACCCGCAAGGGAGGCAGAGGACGAUGGGAAGGCUGGCAACUGGGGCGAAGUCGUAACAAGGUAGCCGUAGGGGAACCUGCGGCUGGAUCACCUCCUU